rnacentral:rRNA from 1 species
ACGGGAGGCAGCAGUGGGGAAUAUUGCACAAUGGGGGAAACCCUGAUGCAGCGACGCCGCGUGAGUGAAGAAGUAUUUCGGUAUGUAAAGCUCUAUCAGCAGGGAGGAUAAUGACGGUACCUGACUAAGAAGCCCCGGCUAACUACGUGCCAGCAGCCGCGGUAAUACGUAGGGGGCAAGCGUUAUCCGGAUUUACUGGGUGUAAAGGGAGCGUAGACGGCAUGGCAAGUCUGAUGUGAAAACCCGGGGCUCAACCCCGGGACUGCAUUGGAAACUGUCAGGCUUGAGUGCAGGAGAGGUAAGUGGAAUUCCUAGUGUAGCGGUGAAAUGCGUAGAUAUUAGGAGGAACACCAGUGGCGAAGGCGGCUUACUGGACUGUAACUGACGUUGAGGCUCGAAAGCGUGGGGAGCAAACAAGAUUAGAUACCCUGGUA